UACAGAGGUCCCGAGCGUUGUUCGGAUUUAUUGGGCGUAAAGGGUGCGUAGGCGGCGGAGUAAGUUGGGUGUGAAAUCCCGGGGCUUAACCUCGGAAUGGCAUUCAAUACUGCUUCGCUAGAGUACUGGAGAGGAGGCUGGAAUUUACGGUGUAGCAGUGAAAUGCGUAGAUAUCGUAAGGAAGGCCGGUGGCGAAAGCGAGCCUCUGGACAGUUACUGACGCUGAUGCACGAAGGCCAGGGGAGCAAACAGG
rnacentral:rRNA from 1 species